ACUUUGGUCAGAGCCUUGUGAGUGCGGGAGACGCUUUUUGCAGCGGGGAGUUAGAAGAUUUGAAAAUUGUGAGAUUUUUCUCUGACUCCAGUGCUUCUGUUAUCUUUUCAACUGCAGGCUCCAGCAGAUUAAAAUUUUGAAAACAGUGAAAUUGUUUCAGAGGUUUUUAGAAGAAGAGGAUUUGCAGCCGUAAAACUUAAACCAAACAUCACAUCAGAAUCUGACAGUCACCCAAUUUAUCGUAACCUGAAUAUCAUUAGAUUUUGAACAUGGAAGGAAAAAGCACCGUUCGCAGUGGGAAGAAACCAUACACGUGUUCUGUGUGUGGACGAGGCUUCAGCCGAACAUCUGGCCUCUCGAAACACAAAUGCAGUCACAACGGGGAGAAGCCAUGGAAAUGUGGGGAUUGUGGGAAAGGAUUUACCCAUUCAUCUAUCUUGCUGAAUCACCAGCGAGUUCACACUGGGGAGAGACCAUUCAUCUGCUUUGACUGUGGGAAGAGGUUCACUCAGUCAUCCCACCUGCUGAGACACCAGCGAGUUCACACUGAAGAAAGACCAUUCACCUGUUCUGAGUGUGGGGCAGGAUUUACUCGGUCAUCCAGCUUGCUGAUACACCAGCGAGUUCACACUGGAGAAAGACCAUUCACCUGCUCCAUAUGUGGGAAGGGAUUCACUCAGUCCGGCAACCUGCAUUUACAUAAACUCACUCACACUGGGGAGAGACCAUUCACCUGCUCAGAGUGCGGAGAUGGCUUCACUCGGUCACCUGACUUGCUGAUACACCAACGAGUUCACACUGAUGAGAGACCUUUUCAAUGCCCAGAAUGUGGGAAGUGCUUUAAAAGUUCUGGGGCGCUGAUAUCCCAUCAACGUGUUCACACUGAUGAAAGACCGUUCAGAUGCUCUCACUGUGGGUCUGGGUUCAAGACAUCAUCUAACCUCACUGUACACCAGCUAAUUCACACUGGGGAGAGACUGUUCACCUGCUCUGACUGUGGGAAGAGAUUCACUCGGUCAUCCAACCUGCUUAAACACCAGCGAGUUCAUGAGUAACUCCCGUGAUUUGAUUUUGCUGUUAACCACACCCAGGACUGAACCAUGUUCAUUGAGAUCUGUUGUUUUCUUCUUCAUCUUUGUCCCAUUUUACUUGGGGUCACCACAAUGCUGCUUGAUCACCUUCUCCAUCUCCUGUCACUCACAUUCUUCUUCCAAUCCCACUGCAUUUCUGUCUCUGGUCACCACAUCUUUCCAUCUGGCCCCUUAGACCUUCCUCUUCUCCUUCUUCCUGACAGACCCAUGUCCAUCACUCACCUCACCACAUUUCCUUUCUCUCUCCACAACAAACAACCGGACCAUUUCAAUCUCUUUUCAGCUACUUUCUUCGAUGUUUCCACAAUCUUCACUGACCCCCUGAUAUACUGGUUCCUGAUCUUGUCCUUUCUUGUCACUCCGCACAUCUAUCUCAGCAUCUGUAUCUCAUUGUAUCCAGUCAUUGUUCCUCUCUUCUUGAUAUUGCCCAACUUUCUGCUCUGUAUAACAAGGCCGGUCUCACAACUGUCCUGUAGAUUCUUCCUUUUCAAUUUCAGUGACACUUUUCGAUCACAUCACAUUUCACUGCACUUUUUCCAAUUACUCCAACCAAAGCUAAUGUGUUUCUUAAUUUCUAUACUUCCAUCUCUGCCAUUGCUGGCCCCAGAUACUUGAAGCUACUCACAUUCUCCAAGUAUUCACCCCUAAUCUCUUCAUCUUCACUCUGAUUCUCUUCCCUAGGCUCAAACUGACAGUCCAUGAAUUGGGUCUUUGGUUCACUAGUGAAGGAAGGAUUUUCUUCCUUUUAAGGAACAAAAUCAGCCGUCCUCAUCCAGUCUGGCCCACACGUGACUCCAGACCCAUAGCAAUGUAGUCGACUCUUAACUGACCCCAGCAAUGGCCUAACAAGUCAGUAAGUUCAAGGGCAGUUAGGCAUGGGCAAAAAAUGCUGGUCUUAUCAGUGACUCCACAUUUCAUGAAAGAAUUAAAAAAAACUAAUCUUCAUACCUGUGCUUUACUCCAGUUCCCCAGAUACUCAGUCAUGUUCUUAUCAUAGCUCAGUGUCAUCUGCAAAUUUCACUCCCUCACAGUUACAACAUGCAAAUCAGGAAGAGGAAGGGAUUCAGUGUCAAUCCUUGGUGCAAUCCAACUUUGAUUUUGAAAAACUCAUUGUCUCCCACAAGAGUCUGGAACUCCUUGGUCAUGUCCUGUAAUAGUCAUACAUACUUCUCAGGGACACCAUGAAUUCGAACACAUCUCCAGACUUCCUCCCUGUGCACCUGGUCAUCAGCCUUCUCCAGAUCCAUGAAUACAAUCUUCGUGUUGCAUUGAACCCCCCAAUAUUCCCCCCUCGCUUGUCUCAAAAUGAAAAUAGCAUUGGGAUCUGUUUCCGCAAAUGUUAAUAAAAUCUAGUCCAGUAAAAGUAAAAUAAAUCAGCUUUCUGUUAAA